rnacentral:rRNA from 1 species
UACAGAGGUCCCAAGCGUUGUUCGGAUUCAUUGGGCGUAAAGGGCGCGUAGGCGGCCUUCUAAGUCGAACGUGAAAUCCCCGGGCUCAACCCGGGAACUGCGUCCGAUACUGGAAGGCUUGAAUCCGGGAGAGGGAUGUGGAAUUCCAGGUGUAGCGGUGAAAUGCGUAGAUAUCUGCAGGAACACCCGUGGCGAAAGCGGCGCGCUGGACCACUACUGACGCUGAGGAACGAAAGCUAGGGGAGCAAACAGG